AAGAAAGAAAGAAAGAAAGAAAGAAAGAAAGAAAGAAAUGUUACAAAAUAUUCCUUUUCUUCUUUUCUCUCUUAUAAAAACCCAUACAUACCCAACUAUGAGGACUACUUUAAGUGGUGAGUGAAACUGGCUUGGAAACUGUUGACUUCUUAGGAGAUAGAUAAAUGUUUAAAUAAAUGUAUGUGUGCAUAUAUAGAUAUAUAAAGUAAUUUUUACAGAUGAGAAUAUAUGUAUGUGGAAGUCAUAUCCAAAUGACAGGUACCACUUUGGCACCUAAGUUCUUGCCUUUGUAACAGCAAACACAAUGCUAAUACAAGUGUAUCUUUCCGAUUAGUCAUUGUCAACUAAAAGUUAACAAGGUCUACGUGGACUUUCACUCUUCUAAGGCAUGUUAAAAAUAAGCGCAGUAUUAGAAAUGAUCAACCCUGGGCAAAACGACAAAGUGCUUCUGCAGAAACGGACAACGUUGACCCUGAGCAAGUACAUGUGCGGUCUCCCUCCAGGAGAAGCACCGCGCCUCUCCCAGGCUGGCGCACCCUUGCAGGGCAUCAAUCACAAGGGCAUCAGGCCCUCCUGCACCACAGUCUUGUGGUGGAAAAAUAUGGAGGAGGAAGGAGACUGGGCUCCUGGGCCCUGAGCUCAUCUGUCUCCAGGUAGUCACCCACACCCCCGUGAUGCAGCCAGCCACACAACUUGUCCUGAGCCCACCUCCUCAGAGGAGAAGAGCCAUGGCUGGGGAGUCCACCAGGUCCACGGGAAGUGCACAGGAAGGUCCACAGAUCAAGCCACAGACAGGAAAACAGUUGCUGAGCCUCUUGGACUCCCUUCGGCUAGUGUGGUGCUCAGCAGUGCUGCGUCUUAGAUUUACUCCAGCACACAGGUUUAGGUGUAAUUUAUUUUAAAAGUCAAACAGUACACCAUUUGGCAAUUUUAUCACUCCAGGUAUAAUAAAAAAAUAUUCCAUGAUUAUAUGUCAUUUGGUUAAGUCUCCAUCAAACUCUUUUCAAAUUCAAAGCAGCCAGCUCUGCGAUAAGUAACUGCAGCCCAGAAUUAGUGAGCACAUUUUUUCCUUCGCGUUUAAUUGAAACUGAUGUGUUUUGAAAUCAUAGUGGGGGUUUCUCAAGAAAAGUGGUAUGUGUUAUUCAAUCAGCGGAAAACAGGCCUCUGCCAGCAAGAGGCUCAUGCCCCGGGAUUAGUACCCGUUGGCAGCGGUGGGCCCGAGCACUACAGCCUCUCCCGGUGGGUAAAUAUUUAAAUUAUAUGUAUGCCAGUGCACAGGGCAACCUGAAAGAAACCUGUUCUUUUUUCCUUCUGUCCCCCGGCUGUGAAUUCUGAAUAAAAUCUAGGCCAGUGCAGACGCCCUUCAGCAGAUCGCAGGGCUAACUGGCCUUUGGGGAGCCGCCUCCUUCUGCUCCUGAAGACUCGUUUCUCCAGGCCUGGCAGGGGCAUUUCCAAUUAAUAGCAGUGCAGCUUUGGAUCACAGCUUUGCAAAAGGGUCAAUGCUAAGAAGUAAACACUGGAGCGCUCAACGACAAUAAUUCAUAAGCAGCAGGAAGGAAAGUGCUCGCUCGUCUUGUCGGGCUCGUUGGAGCCAGUUCUGAGUUUAUUCAUGACAUGUGAAGUGUAUCCGCAGGCAAACUCCUCGAUGAAACGCCUCAAGACCCACACGGCACUGUCAUUUGAAUUGAAUGGACGGAAACCCCAGCCUGUUGGUGAGAAGAUACCAGAUUCCGUGAAUCGCCACAACAGCCAGGUUGCGUUUACAGCGUGGGGAACACAGACACAAGCACCACGAGGAGAGCCCCCACUUUGCUUUGACAGAGAGCACCGGAGUUCGCAGAGCCUUCCAUGAAGCCGGAGGACGGGGCUGUAGGAGAGUGUGUGUGCCCUGCGGCCCCCUCCUUGCCCAGCACCUGGGUGCAGCCGAUACCCGAGGGGAGUGUCAGGCCCUGGACCCUGUCUCCGGGGCGUGUGCAUCUGCAGUGGCUUUGCUUGGAAGCAAAGUUACUGUAAGCAACAAAGAAUGGACACUUUCUAGCACUGGUUAUCUCUGAGCAAAAUUAUACAG